UACGAAGGGGGCUAGCGUUGCUCGGAAUCACUGGGCGUAAAGGGUGCGUAGGCGGGUCUUUAAGUCAGGGGUGAAAUCCUGGAGCUCAACUCCAGAACUGCCUUUGAUACUGAGGAUCUUGAGUUCGGGAGAGGUGAGUGGAACUGCGAGUGUAGAGGUGAAAUUCGUAGAUAUUCGGAAGAACACCAGUGGCGAAGGCAGCCCCCUGGGCCAAUACUGACGCUCAUGCACAAAAGCGUGGGGAGCAAACAGG
rnacentral:rRNA from 1 species